rnacentral:rRNA from 1 species
AUUGAACGCUGGCGGAUUGCUUUACACAUGCAAGUCGAACGGCAGCACGGGGGCAGCCCUGGUGGCGAGUGGCGAACGGGUGAGUAAUACAUCGGAACGUGCCCGGUCGUGGGGGAUAACGUAGCGAAAGUUACGCUAAUACCGCAUACGAUCUGAGGAUGAAAGCGGGGGACCUUCGGGCCUCGCGCGAUCGGAGCGGCCGAUGUCAGAUUAGGUAGUUGGUGGGGUAAAGGCCUACCAAGCCGACGAUCUGUAGCUGGUCUGAGAGGACGACCAGCCACACUGGGACUGAGACACGGCCCAGACUCCUACGGGAGGCAGCAGUGGGGAAUUUUGGACAAUGGGCGCAAGCCUGAUCCAGCCAUUCCGCGUGCAGGACGAAGGCCUUCGGGUUGUAAACUGCUUUUGUACGGAACGAAAAGGCUCUGGCUAAUACCUGGGGCUCAUGACGGUACCGUAAGAAUAAGCACCGGCUAACUACGUG